AACGAACGCUGGCGGCAUGCCUAACACAUGCAAGUCGAACGAAACCUUCGGGUCUUUUUGCGCACCUGUGCUUACCGCGUGGGAACCUGCACUUAGGUUCGGAGUAACUCCCCGUAAGGGGUGCUCAUACCGCAUAAUCUCAUCGGACAAAGGAUGUAUCGCCUUUGGAUGGGCCUGCGGUGGUUUAGCUGGUUGGUAGGGUAAAAGCGUACCAAGACGACGAUCCAUAGCUGGUCGGAGAGCAUGAUCAGCCACACUGGGACUGCGACACGGCCCAGACGGGUGCGGGAAGCAGCAGUGGGAAUAUUGGACGAGGGGGGAUAGCGUGAUCCAGCAAUGCCGGGGGAGUGAGGAAGGGCGUAGGGUUGUAAAGCUCUUUGAGACGGGAUGAGAAUGACAGUACCGGGAGAAUAAGCUCCGGCUAACUACGUG
rnacentral:rRNA from 1 species